UUUCUUUCUUUCUUUCGGUUUUAGCUGCUUACUGUAGAGUUGAGCUUUCUUUAAACUCUCUCGAUGGAGCAUAAUCCAAAGAUCACAAGCUACAUCAUAAUGUGCACAUAUCUGCUGGCAAUGACGUCUGGAAGAGACACUCUCUUGUGCUGCAGAAGAGAUUUCACCAACGGAUCGUCCUCCUGUGAGCUGAGUGACCCCCCAGACCCGAGCUGUGACACGCACUGGAGUGCUGACGGUAUGGCGGUGGUUGAUGAGUUUGGAGGGGUGGAAGAGAGCAGAGUUCAUCAUGCAGCAUCUCAGAGCAUCGUUCUGAGAGGAAAACACACUGAUGUGAUCUUCCGGAUGGACUGUGCUCCACCGAAGGUCAGGAGUUCUGUUCAGUCCAUCAUAUCAAUGCGUGAUAAACACU
rnacentral:lncRNA from 1 species